GAUGAACGCUGGCGGCGUGCUUAAUACAUGCAAGUCGAACGGAGAGACGAGGAGUUUGCUCCUCUGACGAUUGGGGCGCAGGUGUGUGUAACGCGUGCAUAACCUCCCUAUAAGACUGGGAUAACCUCGAGACACCGGCGCUAAUACCGUACAAUAUCUUGCACCACAUGGAUCAAUAGUGAAAGAUGUUUUUGCUGUCACUUAUCGAUGGCUCCGCGCCUGAUUGGCUAGUUGGUGAGGUAACGGCUUACCAAGGCAACGAUGCGUAGGCGACCUGCGAGAGUGGUGGGCGACACUGGAAGGGAAACACGGUCCAGACUACUAAGGGAGGGAGCAGUAGGGUAUCUUCCGCAAUGGGCGAAAGCCUUACGGAGCAACGCCGCGUGAGUGAUGGAGAUCUUCGGAUCGUAAAACCCUGUUAUGAGGGAAAAACAAAUGUGUACGGAAAUAAGCACGACGUGACGGUACCUAAUCAGAAAGCCACGGCUAACUACGUG
rnacentral:rRNA from 1 species